rnacentral:lncRNA from 11 species
UAUUUUACCACUUGCAAAUUGAUCUCUCUAGUUCAUCCAGGAUGCUUAUUGAAUUUCAGCCUGAAGGACUGUAAAGAACAGCCCUGCUACUUCAAUACCUGGCAAACUGGAAAACUCCAGAGGACAUGAGAACCUCUCUUGCUCCGAAGAUGUACACUUUUACUUCAAAGUGGGCAGGGAGGAGACAAAGGGAGGAACCUAAGAUAAAUUGGAAGCAAGAACUGAAAACUAUCAAAGAAAAGAAAAUGCCACCACCUGGUCUUGGACGCUCAAGUUUAAUGUCUUGCAGCAAGGAAGCUCUGCCGUAUUUUCUGCUAUGGCGGUUCUGUCUCUUCUUCCUUGCCCACUCUCCCUUUUAAUUAAAUAUAUUCACACAUGAAAUAAUUUGGUGUAACUUAAUAAAUGUUUAAGCACCGUUCCCUUCCGUGUAACUGUCUUGUAGUUUAUGUC